rnacentral:piRNA from 1 species
UGGGAUUAUAAGAUUGCCCAUUAUGCCUGGU